rnacentral:rRNA from 1 species
GACGAACGCUGGCGGCGUGCCUAAUACAUGCAAGUUGAGCGAUGAAGAUUGGUGCUUGCACCAAUUUGAAGAGCAGCGAACGGGUGAGUAACGCGUGGGGAAUCUGCCUUUGAGCGGGGGACAACAUUGGGAAACGAAUGCUAAUACCGCAUAAUAACUUUAAACAUAAGUUUUAAGUUUGAAAGAUGCAAUUGCAUCACUCAAAGAUGAUCCCGCGUUGUAUUAGCUAGUUGGUGAGGUAAAGGCUCACCAAGGCGAUGAUACAUAGCCGACCUGAGAGGGUGAUCGGCCACAUUGGGACUGAGACACGGCCCAAACUCCUACGGGAGGCAGCAGUAGGGAAUCUUCGGCCAUGGACGAAAGUCUGACCGAGCAACGCCGCGUGAGUGAAGAAGGUUUUCGGAUCGUAAAACUCUGUUGGUAGAGAAGAACGUUGGUGAGAGUGGAAAGCUCAUCAAGUGACGGUAACUACCCAGAAAGGGACGGCUAACUACGUG